CUCGCUCCAGGUCCAUGCGCACCUUCUUCUCCUGCUCCAGGGAUCCCUCCAGCUGGCGGAGAGAAGGACCAGCUAUGUGCCAUGAGGCACAAAGACAUCUUUCUUGAGGUCAAAAGGCCUGGUCUGCGCCUCCAGCCGCUCCUUCUCAGACUUGCGCAGGAAGGGGGCUGCAGCCCCAAACGCAGCCAUCUCCGCAUCCGCCAUGGCUGAGCCUGGGAGUGCUGUCUACCGAUCUGCCGUAUUUCUCAGGCCAGCAAAAUGUACAAUAUCACCGUGAGUGCGAUGAAGAGUGACUGCAGCGCCGGACCGCGGUCAGUGUGACGUCUUAAGGACGGUUUGAGGGUCCGGCUGGGUCCUGGGGGGAGGAGAGGCCAGAGGCCAGGAGACUGUAGCGGAGGUUAAAGCCUCAAUCAAAGUGGAGAGGUAUGAGAGGGAAAGGACCAGACCGGCAGGCAUUCCUAAGGAGGGGAUACAGUGCGCUUCAGCAGACCGGCUCCGGGAAAUCGGGAAGGAAAAAUCAUACGGGAGGGCAUCAGCAAGGAUGAGGGCGGGCACAAAGCGGGCAAGCCCUCGGACAGGCAGGAUAGAGACUCGGUGUGAGUGGGUUAGAGGUAACAAGGGACAACUGAUAGAACAUGUUUUGUGUCCCAGAAGGAGGUGAGAAUUGUGGCCUGGCAGGUAGGGCUGGCGGCUGAGAGCUGGUUACCUUAUGGUGGUGUGAGGUGCCAUGAGCUUGGAGACAAGAGGAAAGACUCAAGAGAGACCCACAGCCCAAGGAAGAAGGAAAGGAAAGAAGAAGCCCACAGAGACUAGACGGAGACGGUACGGUGAGCACAGUACUUGCCAGGGAAAUCUGAUGACCUGUGCUUGACCCCAGAGCCCACUUUAAAAAGCCGAGUGUGGGCUAGAGAGAUGGCUCAUUGAUGCUCUUGCAGAGGACUCAGGUCCUGGCACCCACGUGGCAACUCACAACCAUUCGUGACUUCAUUUCCAGGGGCCAACGCCCUCUUCUGGCCUCCAUGGGCACUGCAUGCCUGUGGUGCCCUGACAUCCAUGCAGAGCACACAUACAUACCAUACAUACACACACACACACACACACACACACACACACA